GAUGAAGAACGUAGCGAAAUGCGAUAAGUAAUGUGAAUUGCAGAAUUCAGUGAAUCAUCGAAUCUUUGAACGCACAUUGCGCCCCUUGGUAUUCCGGGGGGCAUGCCUGUUCGAGCGUCAUUUCAACCCUCAAGCUCUGCUUGGUAUUGGGCACCGUCCUUUGCGGGCGCGCCUCAAAGACCUCGGCGGUGGCGUCUUGCCUCAAGCGUAGUAGAAUACACCUCGCUUCGGAGCGUAGGCGUCGCCCGCCGGACGAACCUUCUGAACUUUUCUCAAGGUUGACCUCGGAUCAGGUAGGGAUACCCGCUGAACUUAAGCAUAUCAAUAAGCGGAGGA
rnacentral:misc_RNA from 1 species